UUUUCUUUGACCAACAAAAAAAAACGUGUUUGUUGUUUUUUUCUUUUUCAAAUGUACGUGGGUCCCAUACGUGGGAGGGACCCCACAAUAGAAUGCUAUUAACAUAAAGAAGUAAAAAGCAUGCAUGCUUUCUUUGAUGGUUAUGUGGAUUCCAGGAGCACUUUAAAACAGUUUGUUGAACAAUAUGAGCUAGCCAUGUGAGACAAAAGUGAGAAGGAAUUUCACGUUGAAGAUAAAUCAAGGUACACAAUCAUAAGAUGUUAAUCUAAAUUUAAAUUUGAGGAACAAUUCCAAAAGCAUUCAUUAAUUGAAUAUUCAAGAAAGUCCAAGCUGAGAUAUAUCAUGUUAUAUAUUGUCAUAUCGUUCAUCUUGUUCUGAGGAGGAAACAAAUCAAGAUGAACCAGGUGUGGAUACUUUUAAGGUCAUGAGAGGUCAUUAUUGCAUAAUUGAUAUUUGAAAGAAUUUGUCUAUGAUGUUCAAUAUAGGAGGAAUGAAAAUAUUUAAAUUGUAAUUGCAGGAAGUUUAAGUCAAAACAAAUAUUGUGUUGCCAUAUAUUUAAAGUUAUGGUUGUCACAGACAUUCAAUAUGUGAACAAGAAUUGUUUAGUUAGAAGGUGGAGAAAAGAUGUAUAUUAUGUAGCUAUAAUAAGAUAUUUCUUGAUAAUGCCUAUCCACAAAUAAAGGACGAGUGUAAGAAGUUCAAGAACAUGGAGUAGUCAUUUGUAGCAGUUGCAGAAUUGGCAUUUGUCAAUGAAUAAAUAUAGGUCCUAUAGAGAAGUGUAUCAACGGGAGAGGAAGUAGAAAUCGUAGAAGAGGAAGGCAUGAAGGAAUGAUUGAGAGAAAUGAUGUUUAGGUGCACAUAAAAUAAAAUUAUACUUUGCUAUUUUAAAUAUUUUUCAAUUUGAGAAUAUUAAUUCUUUUGAUAUGUAUUAUUGCUCAUUGUCGUAAAUUUUUUUCUUUGAAUGUAGGAUGGAGAACAACAUAUUCAUAAUGCAAUUCAAAAUGAAGCUGAAAAUGAAAUUAUUAAAUGUCAAUUAGAUGAAAACAACAAUUUCAGUCAACGUACCAGUGGGAUUAAUUUUGACUUGAAUGAAGAGUACAUAUCAUUGGAUUAGCUCAUUUGAUAUGUAAUCUUUUGAAUUUUAAUUGUAAUGAAUCUUAUGUUGCUUGGAUUUAUGAAUUGUUGGUGUAUUUGAUAUUUGAAAGAUAUCCAAGUUCCUUAGAUAAUCUCAUUAAUAUUUUACCAAUAAAGCAUGUGCUUUCAAAAAUAUUGAUAGAUUACUCGAAGGUUUGAACUCACUUGGCAUAGCUAAUAAGAGUACAUCAUGAUUACUUAGAGGCUUCGUGUUAUUUCUUCAUUACGAUGGUUUUAAAAAUGCUAUCUGAACCUUAUAUGUGG
rnacentral:lncRNA from 1 species